CCUUGUACACACCGCCCGUCACAUCACGAAAGUUGGUUGUACCGGAAGCCGGUGCUCGAACCCGUAAGGGGCGUAGCCGUCCAUGGUGUGCCCAGCGAUUGGGGUG
rnacentral:rRNA from 1 species